rnacentral:tRNA from 1 species
AGGUGAAAAGUGAUAUUAUUGCAUGCAGUUUCGACCUGCAACUAGGAUUUUACCUUCACCUG